AAGCCCUAUUUGCUGCAAAUUUUUGGUGUUUUUUUGCGCUCACUUUAUGAAAGCAGUUUGCAUUGGUCUGCUUUGGGUAGUGUCUGUGUUCAUUGAUGGAGACUGGUUUGUUUGCUGUUGGAAUACAUACAAAGAACAUCCACAGUUAGGCUGCAAAGACAAAAAAAACAUCACAGCUGAGGAGCAAGUCCUGAUUGCUAAGCUGAAAAACAAAUCCAUGAUUAUUGGCUUGGGUAUACUCUUGGCUGGCUUUUUGGUGGUUAGCCUUGUGUUGCCACUUGGAUGGAAGAAAUGCUGUGAGAAGAACGAGAAAUACUCAAGUUGCUGUGACAGAAAACUGCUAUAUGACCAAAUGAUUUUGGAGGAGGAAGAAAAUGUACUCACGGAGAUGAUAAGAAAAGCAGCAAAAGAUAAGCUGACAGAAGAAAUACAGAAAACACUCAACAGUGAACGUUGGGGGGAAUCUUUUGAUGUUGCUGAUCAUCUGAUUGCAAGCAGAACUCCACCAGGACGCAGGGAAGACAUUUCUAUGGAAAUUCAGCAGCCAGAGGUAAAUAUAUCAUUAUGUUGUUCACCUGUUCAGGUGUGAUUUUAAUUAUUUUGUUUUGGACCUCCAAAAGUAGUUAUACAUUCUGUAUUAUUUAAGCUCGUGGGUUCAGGGUACUAAUUAGAUUUGCUCAGGAACAGAAUUUCUUAUCAUCACUUUGUCUCUUCUGUGCUGACUUU